rnacentral:lncRNA from 1 species
UCCUGUGCCCACACACUGAUGUAAACCAGGAAUAACUCCACCACCACGUAGAUUGCAUCCUGUCCCAAGCGGUGGCACCCAAUGCCCAGUUUCUAACAGAGACCCCUAAGCCUCCACUGGAAAGGUGGUUCAACCACACAGCUGGUGGGAAGGUCUAAGCCUUCACUGGGAAGGUGGUUCAACCACACAGCUGGUGGGAAGGAGACUCUGGGGCUGGGAAAACUCUCAACAGGAGAGCUGGAUACAGCUGGCAGUGCAAGGAGAGACCUCUCCAGAGAGAGCAGCAGGAGGCAUUGCAAGCAGAUCUUUGAUGCUGCGGAUCAGAGAUGGACCCUGGUGAAAACUGGAAGCUGGAUGAAACAAACUGGUUGUCUCAUGGUGGGAUCCACCCCUUUUCCAAUGUGAAAGGAGGUAGGAUAUGAUUGCUGGCUCUUAAUCCACCCAGUGAAAGUGCUGAGAGCCUUCCCAAUGUGCUGCUGCCAUUCACUGUGCUUGCAGUGGUCCCAGGGGUUUUGCUGGGCUAUGUCCAGAGCCAGGCAGUACUUGGUAUGAAGGUGGGAAAGGUCAGAUCCAA